UACGAAGGGGGCUAGCGUUGUUCGGAAUCACUGGGCGUAAAGGGCGCGUAGGCGGCUUUGUAAGUCGGGGGUGAAAGCCUGUGGCUCAACCACAGAAUUGCCUUCGAUACUGCAUGGCUUGAGACCGGAAGAGGUAAAGUGGAACUGCGAGUGUAGAGGUGAAAUUCGUAGAUAUUCGCAAGAACACCAGUGGCGAAGGCGGCUUACUGGUCCGGUUCUGACGCUGAGGCGCGAAAGCGUGGGGAGCAAACACGG
rnacentral:rRNA from 1 species